AUGGGACGGCGGACAUUCGCUGCCCUCUCAGAGCUGCCAGCACCUCCAGCACUCAGAACCCCGCUGAUCUCAGGUGCUGAUCUCGAACACCUCCGUACCUGGCCGCCGUGCCCCGUCUGUCUCCAGGGAGCCACCGCCACCUCCCCCGGCACAAUGAGCCAGACCAGGCUGGAUCCAGGGACAUGGAUACCUGGACUCAGGUCUCAGAGAACUGGUAUGCAUUNCCUCCCCUCCCCUCUCCUCCCUUCUCCUCCCCUCUUCUCCCCUCUCCUCCUGGUGAAGCAGGCUCCAUGAUCCCAGUUUCACACACAGGACCUGUUCUAGGAUGCACCUGGGCUCACCUCCCCCCCAGAUUUGCCAGACUCUCCCAGAGGAUCCCUCAGGAAUGGGCCCUGAGCCUAGGAACCAGAGCUGGUGUGCAGAACCAGCCACAUAAUUAGUGGGGCCUAGGGCAAAAUGAAAAUGCAAGAAGGUCCCUUGUUCAAAAACUAUUAAAAAUGUCAAGGGGGGGAGCGUCUGGCUGGCUCAGUUGGAAGAACAGGUGACUCCUGAUCUCAGGGUCAUGAGUUUGAGCCCCACUUUGUGUGUAGACAUUACUUACAAAUAAAUAAACUUAAAAAAAAAAAAAAAAAGACUGUCAAGAUGGUGACAAUAGAGCAUUGAACUAAUGCUGGGCCCUGGGUGACUGCAUGGGUUGUAUACUCACAAACCCGCCCCACCCAGCUGGCAAGUCCUAGACACCAAGCAAGGAGUCUUCCGGGACAGAGUCUACCUGUUCCCUCCAUCAGGGUUCAUCUGUUGGCCUCUCCCCAUGCCGGCCACCUCUGGGGGCACUUUCCUAACCACCCUUCAACACAAACGGAGCUGGGAAUUUUCAGGCCCACCAGAUAUCGCAUGGAGGGAUGUGUCCAGUGCUUUCCCAUCAAAGUGCCCAAAUCACAGGAUACUUUCAGAAAUGUUCAUUUAUGCAAAUGCUGGAUGUUUGGCUCUCUAUUUUCAGCUGAAGAACACUUGCUCUUGAAAAAAUAUAUAAGGGACAUCUCUGUAAGAUGAUGAAAUGUGAAAUGUAGCAGCUGAUUGAUGAGGGUUUGGCACGAAUCAACACUCAAGCAAUAUAUAAGAACAAAAGUCAAGGGUGUGUUUGCAGCCUCUUAAGGUCUAUGUCACACCCAUGGUACAUCUCAUUCUGCCCUCAGGGAACCAGGGGAGGGAGCCUCUGCCUCAGCCCAUUGGGUUCACCUUCACCCAGGAUCAGGCCCUGCAGUGGGGACGAUGGUGAAAGACCUCCCCCGCCUGGGAGCUCCCCAAGGGUCAGCUGGGCCUGAAGCCCUACUUCUCCCUCUUCCUGCUUUUGCCACCUUCCGGACCCUUCCGCGGUUGUGACCCCAGGAGACCUCCCUGAUAAACUUCCUGUACACUAGUCUAUGAAGUCUCUCACCCACCGGAGGCACCCAUCGGCCCCUCCCACCUCUUUAACCGGCCUAUGACAGUUGUUCUUUCAUUCAUUCAACAAAUCUUCACUGAAGGCCUACUAUGCACCAGAUGCAGUCCUAAGUCCUGGGGGUAAAGCAGAAUAAGGCAGGCAAAUACCUCGGCCUUCAUGGAGCAGACAUAGAGCAACCAAAAAUACAAUGCAGUAAUACCAAACUUUGAAGUUCUAUUAAAAACAACACCAGAAUGACACAAUAGAGAAUAUCUGAUCUGAGCUGGGAGCAGCUACUUUAUUUUUUAUUUUUUUUUUAAGAUUUUAUUUAUUUAUUUGACAGAGAUAGAGACAGCCAGUGAGAGAGGGAACACAAGCAGGGGGAGUGGGAGAGGAAGAAGCAGGCUCAUAGCAGAGGAGCCUGAUGUGGGGCUCGAUCCCAUAACGCCGGGAUCACGCCCUGAGCUGAAGGCAGACGCUUAACCGCUGUGCCACCCAGGCGCCCCUGGGGGCAGCUACUUUAGAUCAAACUUCCUCUGGGUCAAGGAAGGUCUCUCUGAGGAGGCAACAAGAGGCCAGGCACUCACCAGUUUGAAGGAGAAGCAUCAACCAGGCAAGUUCAAAGGCUCUUAGGUAGGACGUUGGGAUGUUGGGUUCAUAGGAACAAAUGGUGAGUCUAGAAUAAAGCGAGUAAUGGGAGAUGAGGUCAGAGGCAAGGCCAGAUGAUGCAGGGCCUGGAAGAAUAAUCCAGAAGAAUCCAAGUUUUAUUCCGAGUGAGGUGGGAGCCAUGGGGCAGUUUUAAGCAGGGCAAUUAUGGCAAUUACCUGUUUAGAGCCUCACAAUGGCUACUGGGCAGAGACGACUCACCAUGUGUAUCACCUGCUGUUUGGCACAUGUUUGCCCUUUGGCCUGAUCGCAACUAACUGGGGUUUGUGCAAUAGCCUUUCUGCUCCUUGAGGUUGGAGGCCAGUCCUGGGACUUGUUUGGAUCCCCCAAGCGCCUUGCACUGAGUGGGUGCUCAAUAAAUAUUUACAGGUCAACCAGCAGACCCUUCCGUGUCUGCAAUGAUCUUCUGGAGUCUUACUUCUCAGACCAGAAUCAGUGCCACCUGGAAGCUUAGAGGAAAGGUAGAAUCCCUGAAUCAGAAUCUGUAAUUUAGUAAGAUCCCCCAGAAAUGCAGAUGCAUGUAAAGUUUGAGAAGCACUUCCAGAAAGUAGAGUAACUGGAGGGCCAGACAAGGAGGAGGGGAGAGUGGGAGGUGAGCCAGGAGGUGAACCCAGGUGCACACAGUGGGGUCACUUGGGGAGUCUCCCUUAAAAGUUGCAACCACCCUGAGUUACUGAGUCUGAGAGGAGCUGGACCAGUAAUAAAGCUAAUACUUAUUUUGGUGCUUUCUAUGUGUCAGACACUGGUUUCUCAAUCUUUUACACGCAUAAACUAAUUCAGUCUUCACGACAGCCCUAUAAAGCGGGACUAUUACAACCACCAUGCCCAUUUUGCAGAUGAAGAAACCGAGGCCCCGUGAGGUUGAGGUUAUUCCAGAAUCUUCGGCAGGUACACGCGCAUUUGGCCGUACCUGGCGGUUAGAGCAGGGCCUGUGCUGAUUGGUCGCUGCCUGCCCUACGGAUUAUUCAAUGUUUCGAACGUCGCCCUGGUUACGGUGCUGGAUGGAAGAGGCAGGAUCCAGAUCAGCCCACCGCGCUCGAGCCGAACUCCAAACCACGAUCCUCUAUCCAUCCAGCGCUAUCACCACCCAGAAACAGCACACCUCAGGGACAAGUGUUUUGCAAGCUAUAAAACCCAGUAUGAAUGCUAAGUGCGUAGAUUCCUCCGGGGCAGAAGUGAGAGAAGCCUGUUAAAGCUGCAAAAGCUGGGCCGCCAGAGGUCAGAGGAGAGACUGCUGUGGAGAAGCAGCAUUUUUUCUGCUUGUUCCAAGGGGGAAGUGAAUCAGAAGGAAAGGCCUCCCAGAGUGGCGCCCCCACGAUCAGCCCUAGGGAGGCUCUAACUUGCCAGAUACCCUCAGGCUCUAAUCAUGCUGCCUGGGCGUGUCUUCAAGGACUGACGGGACCCUCCUGAUAUUGACCACUAGAGGGCGCUGCUCCCCAGCCUUCGCCCUUCUGGACCCCACCUGCUCACAAGAAACUAGGACUUGGAGGAAGUCCUAGCGAGCAAGCACCGGGGACUUUGAGAAGUGGAAAAGGGGGGAAGGCAAGAUGGAAGGGGGACUUAUACAUCCUUUCAAUCCCCAAAACACUGGUGCUGGCGCUCAUGUUCCCAUUUUACAGAUGAGGAAUCUGAAGUCCAAAGAUGUUGGACAAGAUCCCCCAAACCAGGAAGCUGGGCAGAGACAGAGCUGGAUCAUCUGAUUCCAGUCUCAGUUAGCAAGGGGACCGCAGGUAGAUGUCAGCUCGUCUGACCCGGUCAUGUUGCUGGUGUCCCUGCUUCUGUUGACCCUGUGUUCUGAGUGGAAGCCAGAACCUUUAUCUUGCUGUAUUUCCCUACUGUGUUCCAGCAACAGUUCCAACAGCCAGCGCUCAUAAAAAUGGCCCCUUCUUGAAACUUUUGAAGUCAUGGUCUCCUGCUUCAUUGCCCUCUGGCCUUCACGGACCCCCUCCUGCCACCCCAAUACAGCGGCCUCCAAUUCUGGCAGAUUCUGGGGUCUCCUCUAGUCCUUGGCCCUUCUACAUCCCUUCCCCACCCUAGGGACCCCACGGGUUUAGGCUCUGCCCCCUGACGGCCCACGGCAGGGAGCAGCACAAAUAAACAAGGGGACAUUUGAACCAAGAAGAGUCUGUGGUUGGGGCCAAAGACUUUUUUCUCGGCUCCCACCAACUCCUUUUAUGGCCUCUGGGUCCAGUUCCUUCUUCAUAACAAGUCAGAGCUGGAAAAGGCCUCAGGAGUCACCAGGUCCAACUUGAGCCAACACUUUCCUUUUCUACAUAAAAACCCCCGCGGCCCGCCAGUCUGCAGCCAGGUUCGCAAGUCUAGCUAGGCCAGGGCAGGAAGCGACCGGCACUGGAGGGAAACUCCAGUCCCGGGCGGAACCUAGGCACGUCGUUGGCCCAGGUGGCCCAGGCCCCGCACCUGCAAUAAGGCGUGGGGGUGGGGGCCCAACCGCCGCUUCGGCUAAGGCCCCGCCCCCAGCUUCUGAGCCUCUGUAUCUAAACGCCGGGACCGCCCUAACGAACGUCUGUUUCGGCCCCCCUCGGAUCCUUCCC
ensembl:lncRNA